GACGAACCGUCCUAACGUUGUUCGGAAUCACUGGGCUUAAAGGGCGCGUAGGCGGCUUGCCAAGUCAGGGGUGAAAUCCUGCAGCUUAACUGUAGAAGGGCCUUUGAUACUGGCGGCCUCGAGGGGGAUAGGGGCCCGCGGAACUUCGGGUGGAGCGGUGAAAUGCGCAGAUAUCAGGAAGAACACCCGUGGCGAAGGCGGCUCUCUGGUACGUGACUGACGCUGAGACGCGAAAGCGUGGGGAGCAAACAGG
rnacentral:rRNA from 1 species